rnacentral:rRNA from 1 species
CUGCCUUCGGGUUUGGGACAACUCCGGGAAACUGGAGCUAAUACCGAAUAAGACCACGAGGUCUCCGGACCUUGCGGAAAAAGGUGGCCUCUUCUUGAAAGCUAUCGCCUGUUGAUGAGCCCGCGUCCCAUUAGCUUGUUGGUGAGGUAAGAGCUCACCAAGGCAUCGAUGGGUAGCUGGUCUGAGAGGAUGAUCAGCCACACUGGAACUGAGACACGGUCCAG